rnacentral:lncRNA from 1 species
AAUAAAGAGAGAAGAAAAGAUAGAAGAAAAAGGAAGAACAAAGUGAAAAAAAAGGGAAGAGCAAAGCUAGGAUUCAAGAGGGGAGUGAGGAUUUUGGUGAAGUAGCUUGAGCUUAAAGAGAAUUGAGGUUAAUGAUUUCAAAAGUUUAAUCCGAACACGCUUAAAUUUGUUACGCUCUGAUCCGAUCCAAUAAAGUAUCCGGAAGGUUCCAGAUAUAUCCACACGAAAACAAACACCAUUUGUUUUAGAGUUAAUCCCUUUAAUCACUCUAUUUUUGUUACGAUCUCUCCCUAUAAAAGGAGAACUCCCCUCACCUAUUCUUUACACUGAAAUUCACAGUUGAUGCUUCAUGCGCUUUUCCUCUAUUCUCUCUUUUUCGACUUGUGUUGACGAGUCCUUCUUCUUAUUCUACUCAUUUAUGUCCCGUCGAUUUCGAGUGGUCUACGUACCAUAUAGAGUGGUUUAAUCGAACGAUUGAUUAAACCAUAUUUGAGGGUGUUAUUUCUCGAACGAUUACUUACGGUGCAGUACGUAAUCGAACAGGUGAACUGGGCUGUUUUAUCCUGGAGGCGGCACGGUUGUUAGUCUACCUUGCAUAAACUCUGGCAGUGUCGUGCAACGUCUUACAUAAAGCGGUCUGGUCGUGACUCAACCCGGUCCUAUCUUCGGUGGUGAUUUCGAUUUUAUUAAAAAGGUACUUUUCUGAACUCGAAAAACAACAAAAGAGAAUGGUAUCUUAUAUGAAUACUGACUCAAGGUACGCCACUCCCGCUAUUUCAAGCAUCAAGAACAAACAAGCUCACCGCACUAGUCGCCAAUCUACUAUUCAGGAUAGAUCAGAAAAUAUGGGAUGGUGGAUACCUGGUAGUUCCUCUAGUAUAACUCAACCGUCAAGAGAAAUAUAAUUGUUACACAAAAAAAAAAAUAUUGCAAUUGAUAUAUUAAUUAUUUGAAAAGAAAGAAGAAAUGUAAAAUAAAGAGGGGAAGAAAUUGAGUUAUUAUCAUUCCAG